rnacentral:rRNA from 1 species
UACGUAGGGGGCGAGCGUUGUCCGGAUUCAUUGGGCGUAAAGAGCUCGUAGGCGGUUUGGCAAGUCGGAUGUGAAAACUCCAGGCUCAACCUGGAGCCGCCAUUCGAUACUGCUAUGACUAGAGUCCGGUAGGGGAGUGUGGAAUUCCCGGUGUAGCGGUGAAAUGCGCAGAUAUCGGGAGGAACACCGAUGGCGAAGGCAGCACUCUGGGCCGGUACUGACGCUGAGGAGCGAAAGCUAGGGGAGCAAACAGG